rnacentral:tRNA from 1 species
GGGCGCUUAACUUAACAGGCUAGAGUACCCGGCUUUUAACCGGGAGAUGGUGGUUCGAUCCCACCAGCGCCUA